rnacentral:rRNA from 1 species
UACGUAGGGGGCUAGCGUUGCUCGGAAUCACUGGGCGUAAAGCGCACGUAGGCGGAUCUUUAAGUCAGGGGUGAAAUCCUGGAGCUCAACUCCAGAACUGCCUUUGAUACUGGGGAUCUCGAGUCCGGGAGAGGUGAGUGGAACUCCGAGUGUAGAGGUGAAAUUCGUAGAUAUUCGGAAGAACACCAGUGGCGAAGGCGACUUACUGGACGAGUUGUUGACGCUGAGGUGCGGAAAGCGUGGGGAGCAAACAGGG